UUUAGGAAUGGGGCUCCCCUUAGCACGCCUGCAUGGAGCAGCGAGGUGCGCAUGCCGAUAUCCACGCACAGGGCUAUGUCAUAUAUGCGUGUAACCGUUGCGUAAAUACACCAUAUCGCGACACGGUCAUCAUGAAAGAUAAGCGCACGUCAACAGCCGUUCCUGUCCAUUUCCUCUUGGUGCCUUACGACGCGUAGAGCCGGUCAUGAUGCUUUCUUUCUGCAACACCGGUUCCGAUAUUAUCGUAUAACCACCGCCUACAGCGUUGGCGCUUCGCCGACAUGUCGCCGUCGUGCGUCCGGUCCGAGCAGAGAGAGGUCUGCAACGUUUACCUGUUUUACCAGCAAGGGAAUACAGGUUGCUCGGCGUGUUCGUUGAAUAUUCGGCCGAUUUGGAUCGUUUACUUCGUGUACGGUGAUCGCAAUGCUAUCCGCUGUUGCGGUCGCGAAGAUCCUUCGACAGGGACACUCCUUGGGAGUGGGUGUGAACUGAGACGGCGAAGCCUACUUCGGAAGGAAUUCAUGAUGCGCUGCCUGCGCAAAGACAUGAGACUUCCAAAGGAGUACGUGUGGUGUGCUGUGUCGGCGAUGAACAGGCACGAAGACCCUUACGAAGACGAGACAAACGACAGUCUGCGGUGGGCCAAACGGUUGCUGUUACGACUCAGCAUCUUUGUGACAGAGGCUGAUUUUGUGGACUCUUACUUCAGAGGAAUAGUUGGACUCGACCCGUGUGAUGUCCCGCAUGGAAAGACGAGGAGUGCAAUACGUGUAUUGCGAUCUGCGAUUGCACCUCGCAUUUGCCUGGGUGUGCGGUGCAACAGGACAGUGUGACAUGGUGAUCGGUCUCGGUGCGUGUUGUGCACAUGUGUUCAAGAACGGGGAAGAAUUGCUGCAACUAUAAGCAGAUGACGACAAGCGCCACAAACUCCUUGCGUGCAAUACGGGAGCGACACCAUAAAGCCAAAAACGGGUGCAAGCCAACAUGAUCACCGGCGUCAAAUGCACCAAUGGGGCUUCAAGUGUAGUACGAAGUACUAUACUGUGGACGUACUUGGAGUGGAGUGGAGCAAAGUACGAGGUAUUAGGCAAUGUAGUGUGAAGUGCCUUGCGAAUUUAACUUGUAGAGCUGUACGUUUCACCGUUUGAUUGUGACAAACAAUUUGAAAAUAAAUUGUGUUAUUUACAAUGGUGGAAUA